UCUGCUAAAGAGGAGGAAGGAAUGGGCAACGGUAGGUCAGCAUUGCCCCGAAUUAUCCGGGCUACACGCGGGCUACAAUGGUCAGGACAAUGGGUAUCGACACCGAGAGGUGGAGGCAAUCUCCUAAACCUGUCCUUAGUUCGGAUUGUGGGCUGCAACUCGCCCACAUGAAGCUGGAAUCCGUAGUAAUCGCGUUUCAAAAUAGCGCGGUGAAUAUGUCCCUGGCUCCUU
rnacentral:rRNA from 1 species